UACGUAGGUGGCAAGCGUUGUCCGGAUUUACUGGGCGUAAAGCGCGCGUAGGCGGAUCGCUAAGUCAGGGGUGAAAUCCCAGGGCUCAACCCUGGAACUGCGUUUGAUACUGACGAUCUGGAGAUCGGGAGAGGUUGGUGGAAUUCCGAGUGUAGAGGUGAAAUUCGUAGAUAUUCGGAGGAACACCAGAAGCGAAGGCGGCCAACUGGCCCGAUACUGACGCUGAGGCGCGAAAGCGUGGGGAGCAAACAGG
rnacentral:rRNA from 1 species